AUUGAACGCUGGCGGCAUGCCUUACACAUGCAAGUCGAACGGCAGCACGGGUGCUUGCCCCUGGUGGCGAGUGGCGAACGGGUGAGUAAUACAUCGGAACAUGUCCUGUAGUGGGGGAUAGCCCGGCGAAAGCCGGAUUAAUACCGCAUACGAUCUACGGAUGAAAGCGGGGGACCUUCGGGCCUCGCGCUAUAGGGUUGGCCGAUGGCUGUUUAGCUAGUUGGUGGGGUAAAGGCCUACCAAGGCGACGAUCAGUAGCUGGUCUGAGAGGACGACCAGCCACACUGGGACUGAGACACGGCCCAGACUCCUACGGGAGGCAGCAGUGGGGAAUUUUGGACAAUGGGCGAAAGCCUGAUCCAGCAAUGCCGCGUGUGUGAAGAAGACCUUCGGGUUGUAAAGCACUUUUGUCCGGAAAGAAAUCCUUGGCCCUAAUACGGUCGGGGGAUGACGGUACCGGAAGAAUAAGCACCGGCUAACUACGUG
rnacentral:rRNA from 1 species